CGGAGGAGAGCGCGACGGGACGGACGCGGGCGGGAGCGCAGCAAGCCCUCCCGGCUCCGCCGCGGCGCCUCGCGGGUCCGGGAGGCGAGGGGGCCCCGCGGGGAGACGCUGUGACAACUUUCGUUUCCCCCCGCCCCCCCGAGGGAGCCGCGAGGUCUGCGGCCCCGAAAAACAAGACAUGAAUAACCCAUUUCACAGAUGAAGAAACUAAGACCUUAGAUUAAUUUAUCCAAAUCCCAAAGCGAGUGGACCUGGAGCAAAGACCUUCUGACUCAUUCUCAGGUGGUGCUAGUGGUAAAGAACCCUUUUGCCAAUGCAGGAGACAAAAUGAGAUGUGAGUUCGAUCCCUGGGUCAGGAAGAUCCCCUGGAGAGACCACUGGCAACCCACUCCAGUAUUCUUGCCCGGAGAAUCCCAUGGACAGAAGAGCCUGGCGGGCAACUCAUAGGGUCGCAAGGAGUUGGACAUGUCUGAAGUGACUUAGUAUGCAUGCGUGUUGUUAAUUAUGAAUAUAAUACUGUCUUUUUUUAGGGGCAUGUAUAUGAGCAGAAUACACACUUUUAAUGGGAGUGAUGUGGCAGGAAAAUUACAAC
ensembl:lncRNA